rnacentral:rRNA from 1 species
CCCUUAGAUGUUCUGGGCCGCACGCGCGCUACACUGACACGUUCAUCAAGUCUAUAACCUUGACCGAGAGGUCUGGGUAAUCUUUUAAAAACGUGUCGUGCUGGGGAUAGAUUAUUGCAAUUAUUAAUCUUCAACGAGGAAUUCCUAGUAAACGCAAGUCAUCAACUUGCAUUGAUUACGUCCCUGCCCUUUGUACACACCGCCCGUCGCUACUACCGAUUGAAUGUUCCGGUGAGCUCUUCGGACUGCGCGGUCUGCAGUUUCUGCGUUCCGUGCGGAAAGUUGCGCAAACCUUAACAUUUAGAGGAAGGAGAAGUCGUAACA